rnacentral:rRNA from 1 species
UUGGAAGUAAAAGUCGUAACAAGGUUUCCGUAGGUGAACCUGCGGAAGGAUCAUUAUUGAAAUAAACCUGAUGGGUUGUUGCUGGUUCUCUAGGGAGCAUGUGCACACCUUGUCAUCUUUAUAUCUCCACCUGUGCACUUUUUGUAGACCUUUCAGGUCUAUGUUGCUUCAUUUACCCCAAUGUAUGUUAAUAGAAUGUUGUGCCUAUAUAAUAUAUACAACUUUCAGCAACGGAUCUCUUGGCUCUCGCAUCGAUGAAGAACGCAGCGAAAUGCGAUAAGUAAUGUGAAUUGCAGAAUUCAGUGAAUCAUCGAAUCUUUGAACGCACCUUGCGCUCCUUGGUAUUCCGAGGAGCAUGCCUGUUUGAGUGUCAUUAAUAUAUCAACCUUCUCUUUUUGAGUGGUUUGGAUGUGGGGGUUUGCUGGCCUCUUCAAAGGUCUUGGCUCUCCUGAAAUACAUUAGCAGAACAACCCUGUUCAUUGGUGUGAUAACUAUCUACGCUAUUGAAUGUGAAGGGCAGUUUGGCUUUCUAACAGUCCCUUGGACAAGCUCAUCAUUAAUGUGACCUCAAAUCAGGUAGGACUACCCGCUGAACUUAAGCAUAUCAAUAAGCGGAGGAAAUCGUCGACCUGC